GCCAGUUCGGUCAUUUUGUGACAUUGCUUUAGUGUUACUGCUUAUCUCGAACAAAGUACACGCUCCGCACGAUACAUCAAUUGUAAAAAGAAAUUUGUUUAAAUAUAUUUGCUGUUUGAUUUAUUCUGUUAUUUUAAUGGCUACUAGGACAGAAAUUCAAGACUAUCUCUAUAUAAGGGAUUUUGUCGAUGAAAUAGUAAAUGCAGUUUUAAAUAAAACUGUACCUAUAGAUAGCAUAGCAAGCAUAUCAAAUUGUCUAGUAAAGUGUAUAAUACAGUUAACAAUUAUGAAUGUAAAAGGAAGAAAAAGAUAUCUGAACGAAAAAUCAUUAUACGAGGCAGCAAUAAACGAUUUUCAGACAAUAGAAAACUUCAAUAGUGAAGCGAUAUCUAAAAUUGCAAAUACGUAUGGAAUUGACGAUGUAAUUCUUGCCGAGGAAAUAAACAAAUUUCUUCAAGUAAAUUAUUAUAUAUAUGAUCAAAUUAUAGAAGCAGAACACAUUUCAUAUGUACAGGAAGAAACAUUAUGGAAAUUUUUAAAACAGUUGGUAGAUUUAAAGCAAAUUCCUUGCACUUGCAGAAUUUGUUUCUUGCUAGAAUCGUCAAAACAGGCUUACAAAUUUGUCAAACGAUGGAACGUAAGUUUUUACCUCUUUUGGCCUGAAGCGGCACCAAUACAAUGGGUAAGAAGUUUCGAAAUGAGAUACCGCAGCGAAAUUUCUGAUUUAUGCAGUAAGAAGUGUAUCUCUCAGCUGUGAAUCACAAUGAAUGAUAAACAACAACCGUUAUCAAUGUUUGAUGGAGAAAUUAUUUUCGAUUUACCAAAUAAUUCUAAAACAUUUUGUAGCCAAGAAAAUUUUAAUCUAUUUCGGUACUGCAUUGUGAUGAAAUAUUAACACAAAUUUAUUAACAUUUUGAGAUUUUAUUUUACUUUUUGAGAUUUAGAUUUAUGGUUUGUUAAAGCUUUUUUUAUUACUUUUAUAAAUAAGGAGUUUUUAGGAUAUUUACAAGAUGCUUUUUUAUUAAUGAAAAGAAAAAAUGUUGAGAAAUACGUAUUGUAAUUUAUGAACAUAAACGAUAUUAUAUAUACUAUUAGGUUAUCCUUUAUUACGAUAUCCUUAUCAUUUUUAAACAUAUCUAUGUACAUUUUGUUGUGUAUAAAUAGGUCUUUAAAUACAAGAAAAGCUAUAUGAGGCAAACAUAAGAAAAAAAGAGAGAUAAAGAGAAAGAGAGAAUUUAAAAACGCAUAAAAAUAUUGUAAUCAUAAAAAAAAAACAAUCAAAAAAUAAAAUGUUUUUUAUUCUAAA